rnacentral:pre_miRNA from 1 species
AGGCGGAGACUUGGGCAAUUGCUGAACUCUGCCCUGGGCAUUGCACUUGUCUCGGUCUGA